AUGAAAGGAGGCAAGGCGAUGGGCCCUGAUUGUAUCCCCAUUGAGGUGUGGAAAGGUCUCGGGGACAUAGCGAUAGUAUGGCUAACCAAGCUUUUCAACCUCAUUUUUCGGGCAAACAAGAUGCCAGAAGAAUGGAGAUGGAGUAUAUUAGUACCAAUCUUCAAGAACAAGGGGGAUGUUCAGAGUUGUACUAAUUACCGUGGAAUUAAGCUGAUGAGCCAUACAAUGAAGCUAUGGGAGAGAGUCAUUGAGCACCGCUUAAGAAGAAUGACAAGCGUGACCAAAAAUCAGUUUGGUUUCAUGCCUGGGAGGUCGACCAUGGAAGCCAUUUUCUUGGUACGACAACUUAUGGAGAGAUAUAGGGAGCAUAAGAAGGACUUGCAUAUGGUGUUCAUUGACUUGGAGAAGGCCUAUGAUAAGAUACCGCGGAAUGUCAUGUGGUGGGCCUUGGAGAAACAAAAAGUCCCAGCAAAGUACAUUACCCUCAUCAAGGACAUGUACAAUAAUGUUGUGACAAGUGUUCGAACAAGUGAUGUCGACACCGAUGACUUCCCGAUUAAGAUAGGACUGCAUCAGGGGUCAGCUUUGAGCCCUUAUCUUUUUGCAUUGGUGAUGGAUGAGGUCACAAGGGGUAUACAAGGAGAUAUCCCAUGGUGUAUGCUCUUUGCGGAUGAUGUGGUGCUAGUUGACGAUAGUCGGACGGGGGUAAAUAGGAAGUUAGAGUUAUGGAGACAAACCUUGGAAUCGAAAGGGUUUAGGCUUAGUAGAACUAAAACCGAGUACAUGAUGUGCGGUUUCAGUACUACUAGCUGUGAGGAGGAGGAGGUUAGCCUUGAUGGCCAGGUGGUACCUCGGAAGGACACCUUUCGGUAUUUGGGGUCAAUGUUGCAGGAGGAUGGGGGUAUUGAUGAAGAUGUGAACCAUCGAAUCAAAGCCGGAUGGAUGAAGUGGCGCCAAGCUUCUGGCAUUCUCUGUGACAAGAGAGUGCCACAACAGCUAAAAGGCAAGUUCUACAGGACGGCGGUUCGACCCGCAAUGUUGUAUGGCGCGGAGUGUUGGCCGACUAAAAGGCGACAUGUUCAACAGUUAGGUGUGGCGGAGAUGCGUAUGUUGAGAUGGAUGUGUGGCCACACGAGGAAGGAUCGAGUCCGGAAUGAUGAUAUACGAGAUAGAGUUGGGGUAGCACCAAUUGAGGAGAAGCUUGUCCAACAUCGUUUGAGAUGGUUUGGGCAUAUUCAGCGCAGGCCUCCAGAAGCUCCGGUGCAUAGCGGACGGCUAAAGCGUGCGGAGAAUGUCAAGAGAGGGCGGGGUCGACCGAUUUUGACAUGGGAGGAGUCCGUUAAGAGAGACCUGAAGGAUUGGAGUAUCGACAAAGAGCUAGCUAUGGACAGGGGUGCGUGGAAGCUUGCUAUCCAUGUGCCAGAGCCAUGA
rnacentral:rRNA from 1 species